UUUGUACUCCCUCCGUCCCAAAAUUCUUGUCUUAAAUUUGUCUAAAUGCGGAUGUAUCUACUUACAUUUUAGUGUUAGAUACAUCCAUAUCUAAACAAAUGUAAGACAAGAAUUUUGGGACGGAGGGAAUACUAC
rnacentral:pre_miRNA from 1 species